rnacentral:lncRNA from 1 species
UAACUGUUUAUGGUCAAAUUUAGAAAUUGUAUACUAUUUUGAUCCAACCACGUUGCAUUUACUAUGAAUAAUACUAUACCAACUCAAUAAAUUGUUUUGUCAUAUUGGUCGAAUCCAGAGAUUUAUUCUCUAAAGUCUUUUUAGCAGGCCUUUUUAGUUUUUACCAAUUUUGUUCUUGUUUUGUUUCCAGGAUGUGAAUAAAAUCCAUAUAAACUAACUAAAAUUUUAAGUAAUGAACUAAUGAUCAAACCCUUACCAUAAAUAGAGAAACAUAGGCUCUCAGUGCACAUAACACUCGAUAAGUCUAUUAAUGAAACCUACUACUAUACUCAGCUCUAAUUCUAAAUAUUACAAAUAAUUCAUAUCCUUUUGCUUUAGCCUUUAUGUUACAAAAUUUUGGAAGAUAUGAUAAAUUUGGUUUGGUACUUAAUAUAGUUAUAAUAUUAUAUCUAGAGACAGAUAAAGAGACAUGUAAGUUGUAAGUUGUAACCACUUGCCUUGCCUUGAAGAAGAAAAAAUCCAUGAUAUUUUAUUCAUCUUCGACUUCUGUGUUGUGUCCAAUUUUAGAACUUGCACUCUAUUUUCAUCCAUCCAAUUUCUCAAUUAGAAGACCUGGUUAAGAAAAUCAUGUUUGACUGCAGCACCAUAGUGAUUGUUUUUUUUUCUUCAUGUCACUGAAGCUUCUUGAAACCCCUGCCAAACAAAUUAAAGGAACUAAGUAUAAGAAAAUUUCGUUGUAAGAAAUUUCACAAUGCAAUGUAGUAGUGCUGUACUGUUGGAAACAGUAAUUGAUGAAAUUAUUAAAAUUUCAAAACAAACAUGCAUUAUAAUGUAUUGCAAAUGCUAUAUAUAUUGAGACAUUGGUCAAUAUAUAACACAACACGACAGAUCAAAUUACCCAAAAAAUAUCAUCUUUACCAGUGCUGCAGAAGUAGUUGCAGGAAAUUAAAAUGUUCACUAAACAUAAACCACCUUAAGGAUAUGUGAUAUGCAUGUAACCAUAUAUAUAUCUAGGUAUUAUGCAUAGAUGUCACCACACUGUAAAUAGGGAAGAGAGGAAGAAGAAAACAAGGUGGUGACAGAAGUAUAGAGAGCACAAAAGAUUAGAGAUGCAGGCGGCUCUUUCUCUAGCUUAUCUCCUUCCCUCUCCAUCUCUCUCUCUCACUCUUGCAACACAUGAGGUGUGAUGAAUGGUGAUAUAUAUGUAUGUACUUGCAUGUCAUCCUUAGUGCUCUCUAUCUUCUGUCAACAACCAACAUCACUCUCCAACCUAUACAUGUGUGAUAUGCAACAUCAUGACAUGUAUGUAUAGCAUGUAUAUAUUUAGUGAUAUAUAUAUAUAGAUUAUAGGGAGUGUAUGAAGUGAUACAGGGAUAAUGGAGAGUAAUGUGUGUGUAUAUAGAGGAGUAAGUUGAGAGAGC